rnacentral:rRNA from 1 species
GACGAACGCUGGCGGCGUGCUUAACACAUGCAAGUCGAACGGAAAGGCCCUGCUUUUGUGGGGUGCUCGAGUGGCGAACGGGUGAGUAACACGUGAGUAACCUGCCCUUUACUUUGGGAUAACUUCAGGAAACUUGGGCUAAUACCGUAUAUGAGCUCCUGCUGCAUGGUGGGGGUUGGAACGUUUCGGCGGUUGGGGAUGGACUCGCGGCUUAUCAGCUUGUUGGUGGGGUAGUGGCUUACCAAGGCUUUGACGGGUAGCCGGCAUGAGAGGGUGACCGGCGACAAUGGGACUGAGAUACGGAGCAGAAUCCAACGGGAGGCAGCAGUGGGGAAGAUUGCACAAUGGGAGGAAGCAUGAUGAAGAAACGCCGCGUGCGGGAAGAAGGCCUUCGGGUUGUAAACCGAUUUCGAAUGUGACGAAGCGUGAGUGACGGUAAUGGGUAAAGAAGCACCGGCUAACUACGUG